GGCUCAGAUUGAACGCUGGCGGCAGGCCUAACACAUGCAAGUCGAGCGGUAGAGAGAAGCUUGCUUCUCUUGAGAGCGGCGGACGGGUGAGUAAUGCCUAGGAAUCUGCCUGGUAGUGGGGGAUAACGUUCGGAAACGGACGCUAAUACCGCAUACGUCCUACGGGAGAAAGCAGGGGACCUUCGGGCCUUGCGCUAUCAGAUGAGCCUAGGUCGGAUUAGCUAGUUGGUGGGGUAAUGGCUCACCAAGGCGACGAUCCGUAACUGGUCUGAGAGGAUGAUCAGUCACACUGGAACUGAGACACGGUCCAGACUCCUACGGGAGGCAGCAGUGGGGAAUAUUGGACAAUGGGCGAAAGCCUGAUCCAGCCAUGCCGCGUGUGUGAAGAAGGUCUUCGGAUUGUAAAGCACUUUAAGUUGGGAGGAAGGGUUGUA
rnacentral:rRNA from 1 species